rnacentral:rRNA from 1 species
GGCUCAGGAUGAACGCUAGCGGCAGGCUUAAUACAUGCAAGUCGAGGGGCAGCAUGGUGUAGCAAUACACUGAUGGCGACCGGCAAACGGGUGCGGAACACGUACGCAACUUACCCAAAACUGGGGAAUAGCCCGGGGAAACCCGGAUUAAUACCUCGUAACAUAAUGAAGUGGCAUCACUUUAUUAUUAUAGCUCCGGCGGUUUUGGAUGGGCGUGCGCCUGAUUAGGUAGUUGGCGGGGUAAUGGCCCACCAAGCCUACGAUCAGUAACUGGUGUGAGAGCACGACCAGUCACACGGGCACUGAGACACGGGCCCGACUCCUACGGGAGGCAGCAGUAAGGAAUAUUGGUCAAUGGACGCAAGUCUGAACCAGCCAUGCCGCGUGAAGGAUGAAGGUCCUCUGGAUUGUAAACUUCUUUUAUAUGGGAAGAAAUCCAUCUUUUCUUGGGUGGUUGACGGUACCAUAGGAAUAAGCACCGGCUAACUCCGUGCCAGCAGCCGCGGUAAUACGGAGGGUGCAAGCGUUAUCCGGAUUCACUGGGUUUAAAGGGUGCGUAGGAGGGCAGGUAAGUCAGUGGUGAAAUCUCCAAGCUUAACUUGGAAACUGCCGUUGAUACUAUCUGUCUUGAAUACCGUGGAGGUGAGCGGAAUAUGUCAUGUAGCGGUGAAAUGCUUAGAUAUGACAUAGAACACCAAUUGCGAAGGCAGCUCGCUACACGAAUAUUGACUCUGAGGCACGAAAGCGUGGGGAUCAAACAGGAUUAGAUACCCUGGUAGUCCACGCCCUAAACGAUGGAUACUCGACAUACGCGAUACACAGUGUGUGUCUGAGCGAAAGCAUUAAGUAUCCCACCUGGGA